CUCCAUUUCCCAGAAUCUACACAGAGUUCCCACUAGCUCUGCAUGUGCGGACUGAUGCAGGACACAAUUCAUAGUGGGAAUGGCACUGCCAGAAAAGUAGAUGCGAGGGGCCUCAGUCCGGCGCCUGAGGCACGAGUUCACCCGAGCUUGGGGCCGCAGCUGCGAGGGGCCGAGCGCGUCCCAGCUUUCUCAAAAGGUGAAGGUCUUGAAGGCUAUCCCCAGAAAAAGGAAUGCAACUAGGAGAAGACUGCCCUGAGACCUUCUAUCACAGCUUUAUGGCAGUAUUUGAUGGGAAGAAACUAGUGGUACAGGGAUUCCUGCUCAUCCCGUCUGGACAGAGAAGACAAGAGGGAAGCCAGAACCAGGCUGGGUACCAUGGAGGACUUGGCCCGAAUGCUUGGGGAGAGAGUGCUUCUCCAAGGCCAGACUGGAGAGGAAGAGGAAGCAGUGACUUUCAGGCUCCUCACUGUCAAGCUUCAGGUGAGUUCAGGUUUCUUCUCUUGCCUGUUCAUCAUCUCAUACCGUAUUAUUUCUCAAUCUAUAGCUACACUUCUUUCCCUUCUUGGCAUUUGAGUCUCAGUUAUUCUCUCCCAGAAGCCUCUGGCCAUUCUUAUUGAUGACAUAGAGUUUAAAAGAUCCUUAGAGUUUGAACGAUGAAUUUUAGAAUGAAUGUGUAUAAUUUGAUAAGAAUCACAGUCCACCCUUCUCCACAUAAUGGCUCUUAAAAUGCUUGGACAGGGUUACCACAUCCCCUGAGUCUUCUUUUGUCCAGGGUGACCACGCCCUAUUCCAAUUUUGUGGUCCCAUUUAUAACGUCCCAGAACAACCCUCCAGAGGGACUCCAGCCAACACAGAGGCGGCCUCCUCUUGGGCUUUUCUCAAAUCAGCGAACACAUAAAUACAGCAAAGGGGCUCUGUCUCAGUCUUCAUUCCCCCUCCCUAACUGGGCCACCUCACAGUCUGGUCAUACUUAAAAGUAUUUCUUUUUUUUAAUAUUGUAGUACAAGGUGAAUGGUGGGAGUUAUGUAUCUGAAUAUAAGCCAAGAAGUUGGACUUGAUGACUUCAAGGGUCCUAUCCAACUCAAGAGAUUUUUCUUUCAAUUUAAUUCAAUAGAUAUUUAUUAAGUUCCUACUAUAUACCAGGCAUUGGGGGUGCAGAAAUAAAAAUGAAAUAGUCCCUGCCCUCA
rnacentral:lncRNA from 1 species